rnacentral:rRNA from 1 species
AUUGAACGCUGGCGGCAGGCCUAACACAUGCAAGUCGAACGGUAACAGGAAGAAGCUUGCUUCUUUGCUGACGAGUGGCGGACGGGUGAGUAAUGUCUGGGAAACUGCCUGAUGGAGGGGGAUAACUACUGGAAACGGUAGCUAAUACCGCAUAACGUCGCAAGACCAAAGAGGGGGACCUUCGGGCCUCUUGCCAUCGGAUGUGCCCAGAUGGGAUUAGCUAGUAGGUGGGGUAACGGCUCACCUAGGCGACGAUCCCUAGCUGGUCUGAGAGGAUGACCAGCCACACUGGAACUGAGACACGGUCAAGACUCCUACGGGAGGCAGCAGUGGGGAAUAUUGCACAAUGGGCGCAAGCCUGAUGCAGCCAUGCCGCGUGUAUGAAGAAGGCCUUCGGGUUGUAAAGUACUUUCAGCGGGGAGGAAGGGAGUAAAGUUAAUACCUUUGCUCAUUGACGUUACCCGCAGAAGAAGCACCGGCUAACUCCGUG